rnacentral:rRNA from 1 species
CCUACGGGUGGCUGCAGUGGGGAAUAUUGGACAAUGGGGGGAACCCUGAUCCAGCCAUGCCGCGUGUGUGAAGAAGGCCCUCGGGUUGUAAAGCACUUUCAGUGAGGAAGAACGCCUGGUGGUUAAUACCCAUCAGGAAAGACAUCACUCACAGAAGAAGCACCGGCUAACUCCGUGCCAGCAGCCGCGGUAAUACGGAGGGUGCGAGCGUUAAUCGGAAUUAUUGGGCGUAAAGCGCGCGUAGGUGGCUUGAUAAGCCGGUUGUGAAAGCCCCGGGCUCAACCUGGGAACGGCAUCCGGAACUGUCAAGCUAGAGUGCAGGAGAGGAAGGUAGAAUUCCCGGUGUAGCGGUGAAAUGCGUAGAGAUCGGGAGGAAUACCAGUGGCGAAGGCGGCCUUCUGGACUGACACUGACACUGAGGUGCGAAAGCGUGGGUAGCAAACAGGAUUAGAUACCCGAGUAGUC